GUGAGGAAUAUUGGACAAUGGGCGCAAGCCUGAUCCAGCCAUGCCGCGUGCAGGAAGACGCAUCUAUGGUGUGUAAACUGCUUUUGUACGGGAAGAAACACUCCCUCGUGAGGGAGCUUGACGGUACCGUAAGAAUAAGGAUCGGCUAACUCCGUGCCAGCAGCCGCGGUAAUACGGAGGAUCCAAGCGUUAUCCGGAAUCAUUGGGUUUAAAGGGUCCGUAGGCGGUUUAAUAAGUCAGUGGUGAAAGCCCAUCGCUCAACGAUGGAACGGCCAUUGAUACUGUUAGACUUGAAUUACAAGGAAGUAACUAGAAUAUGUAGUGUAGCGGUGAAAUGCUUAGAUAUUACAUGGAAUACCAAUUGCGAAGGCAGGUUACUACUUGUGGAUUGACGCUGAUGGACGAAAGCCUGGGGAGCGAACAGGAUUAGAAACCCUUGUAGUCC
rnacentral:rRNA from 1 species